GAGGUGGGUGGAGGAUGGGCUAAAUGAGUGAUGGGUAUGAAGGAGGGCAUUUGCUAUGAUGAGCACUGGAUGUUGUAUGUAAGUGAUGAAUCACUAAAUCUUACACCUGAAAC